ACAGAGGUCCCAAGCGUUGUUCGGAUUCACUGGGCGUAAAGGGUGCGUAGGCGGUAGGGUAAGUUUGAGGUGAAAUCUCCGGGCUCAACCCGGAAAAUGCCUUGAAGACUAUCCUGCUAGAGGAUCGGAGGGGAGACUGGAAUUCUCGGUGUAGCAGUGAAAUGCGUAGAUAUCGAGAGGAACACCAGUGGCGAAGGCGAGUCUCUGGACGAUUCCUGACGCUGAGGCACGAAAGCCAGGGGAGCAAACGGGAUUAGAUACCCCGGUAGUCCUGGCCCUAAACGGUGCGCACUUGCUGUGGGCGGAUUCGACCCCGUCCGUGGCGAAGGAAACCCGAUAAGUGCGCCGCCUGGGGAGUACGGUCGCAAGAUUA
rnacentral:rRNA from 1 species